UAGUUGCAUCCAAACAAUCAAAUGCUGAGAAGAAAGUGGCUGAUAAGAAGAGGAAGAGUUUGGAGGUUUGCCGGUGUUUGCAGCGUCUGCAUGAGCGGUGAUAUUGGGUGUAGUUGCAUACUUCCGCCAUCAAAAAGUCUGGAGUGGUCUACAAGGAGCAUCGUAACUGUUGAGGACCAGGAUUAUUUUUACUAAUUGUUUGAAGACCCGAGAUUUAUGGAACGAUUCUACCAAAGCUAUGGAUAAGAAGGAAUCAAGAAAAGGCAACAAAAAUGACACGGACGAGGAAGGAGAAUGAUGUAUUUUGUAUUGAAUUUAGGGGUUUCAAAACUUUAACUUAAUCAAACAAAAUACUUUUGUUGUAA